ACUCAUGGGGGCUUCUGUGACCACGCCCACUCGAACGACUUCCUUCGCAGGCCACGCCCCGCUCACCUGUCCGCCAGGUCGUGAGGCAGAGAAGGCAGCUGAUGUCUUCGGACAGGAGGUGAUUCCCACUAAAUAAUGGGAGUAUAAACUUUGGUGUCUUCGGGCAGGACAUACUUGGCUCAGCUGCUGGAAUGAUCUAUGUUGUACGAUCUGGUUGCAGUGCGGUGACGGCACCGCCCUCCGCUGCGCGUAACAGGGAUGCUGGCCUCCGGGGCUAAAGAAGGAAAUGCAACGAAGUUCCAGUCUUCAUUCUGGUCGCUGCUUCCACGGAUUGCCUUGGAGAAACAGGAACAUGCUCUGCUUUUCCGUGCAGUUGCAUGCAAAUCUUUUCGUAGUCUGUUGAUUUUGUUAAAAGUAUUUAGCGUUCGUGUGGCCGUGCUUUGACACUUUGUAAUCGAAAUGCCUGUUCAUUUUCACUUGAAAGCCUGUGCAUCAGUCAUACUGCAAUGCUUUGUUUUGUAUGCAUUUUUUACUCAA